rnacentral:rRNA from 1 species
AUUGAACGCUGGCGGCAUGCCUUACACAUGCAAGUCGAACGGUAACAGGUUAAGCUGACGAGUGGCGAACGGGUGAGUAAUGUAUCGGAACGUGCCCAGUCGUGGGGGAUAACUGCUCGAAAGAGCAGCUAAUACCGCAUACGACCUGAGUGUGAAAGCGGGGGAUCGCAAGACCUCGCGCGAUUGGAGCGGCCGAUAUCAGAUUAGGUAGUUGGUGAGGUAAAGGCUCACCAAGCCGACGAUCUGUAGCUGGUCUGAGAGGACGACCAGCCACACUGGGACUGAGACACGGCCCAGACUCCUACGGGAGGCAGCAGUGGGGAAUUUUGGACAAUGGGCGCAAGCCUGAUCCAGCCAUGCCGUGUGCGGGAAGAAGGCCUUCGGGUUGUAAACCGCUUUUGUCAGGGAAGAAAAGGUUCUGGCUAAUACCUGGGACUCAUGACGGUACCUGAAGAAUAAGCACCGGCUAACUACGUG